GUAAUGUCCGCCAGCGGAAGCGACACCGCGGCUUCGCGCUUCACGCUCUCCGCAGGGAGCUAAUCACAGCGCGGCGCGCUCGGGGGCGUCACGAGGCGCGAGAGGUUCAACAUGGCGGAGGAGCCCGCCUCGGCGUCUCCGGUCCCGCGCGGACUUGCUGACGGGGAACCUGCGGACGCCGCGGAGCCGGAGCUCAUGCAAAAGGGCAGGGACGAGCAGGAGCAGAUACAGUGCCAGGAGCUGCUGGAUUGCCAGGUGGAGUUUGGGGUCCCUGAGGAAGAGGAGGAGGACGCGGACCUGGUGGCGAAGGCCGAGGCCGUGGCUGCCGGCUGGAUGCUGGACUACUUCUGCCUCUCCCUGUGCCGGGCGUUCCGAGACGGCCGCUCCGAAGACUUCCAUCGCAUCCGCGACAGCGCCGAGGCUGUUAUUCAUGGACUGCCUAGUCUUACAUCUGAUCAGUUGAGAACUGUAUACAUAUGCCAGUUUUUGACAAGAAUUGCAGCAGGAAAAUCCCUUGAUGCACAAUUCGAAAGUGAUGAACGAAUUACACCGUUGGAAUCAGCCCUGAUGAUUUGGGCUUCAGUUGAAAAACAACAUGACAAACUUCAUGAAGAAAUACAGAACUUAAUUAAAAUUCAGGCCAUAGCUGUUUGUAUGGAACAUGGCAGUUUUAAGGAAGCAGAAGAAGUUUUUGAAAGAAUAUUUGGUGACCCAUAUUGUCACACGACAUUGGAAAGGAAAUUGAUUAAGAUAAUCUCUGAGAAAGAUCCAUAUCACUCCUUUUUUCAACACUUCAGCUACAACCGCAUGAUGGAGAAAGUUAGAAGUUUCGUGAGUUGGGUGCUAAGAGAAAAAUCAUCAACUUUUCUAAUAAAGGCAGCAGUAAAAGUAGUGGAAAGUGAGAACACAAGAAUAAUAGCUUCUCAAGAUAAAUCUGGCAGUGAUGAUGAAACAGAAACUGAAGCUAAUUUGAUUAAAGAAAAAAGGUUUCACAAGAACAUCUUAUCUAAGUUGAAACAAGGAAACUGUCAGCAAGACCUUAAUAAGAAAGAAAGAGUGGGAGUUCUUCAAAGUGGAAGAAAGGAACACAGAAGAAACACUAAAGAACCUGUCUCAACAAAUCAGACAGUAACUCAUGAAAACCGGAGAGCUAGGAAAAAACAGCCAUGGCUUUGGGAAGAAGACAAGAAUUUGAAAUCUGGCGUGAGGAAAUAUGGAGAGGGAAACUGGUCUAAAAUACUGUUACGUUACAAAUUCAACAACCGAACAAGUGUUAUGUUGAAAGACCGAUGGAGGACCAUGAAGAGACUAAAACUGAUUUGCUCAGACAGUGAAGACUGAAUGUGACUCUUGAGGUUUAAUACAACAGUUAAAUAUUUUGAUAACUAUGUUGCAUUUACAACAUGCUUGUCACUGAGCUUUGCACCUCCUAGGUCAACAGCCCGUGUUCGUGGUGCAGCUUGAUGGGGCCGAGGAGGGCAAUGCAGACCUUUUCGCCUUCACAGAAAUGUGUCCUGUGCCUUUCAUCCAGUUGUUCAUUGAGGUUCAGGUCAGAGGUUUCCUUUGUUUCACCCUCUGUCGGCUGGCCAGUGUCCCAGGCAGUAUUAAAAACAUUCCAAGAUAGGCUGCCUCCAGCCACCUGAGGUUGGGACAGUGGAUGGAGCAGACAGACCAAAACUCCUGGAGGGGUUUGGGCUUUGCUGUAACCAGGGAAUCUGGGAAGCCACACACAGUCCAGAACUGGACACUGACCAGCAGCCCAAGAGGACUUGAGUGCUGUGCCUCUGAGUAAUGUUUAGGAGAAAAAGACUAAGGGAGAGAGAGUUGUUUUGGCCAAACUUUGAAGGAGGCUCCAAUGCCAAAGGAUCUGCAAAGUGUGGGUGUGUGUGUUUUGUACUGUACUUUUGGUUUAUACACUUGAGUAAAUUAAAUGAAAUGCUGUUAAGUAUUCUUUUUUUUUCUUUGUAUUUUUGAGGCAGGGUCUCAUUACACAGUUCAGGCUGGCCUUGAGCUCACUUUAUAGCCCAAACUGGUCUUGACCUCACAGUGAUCCUCCUGUCCCAGCCGCCUGAGUGCUGGGAUUACAGAUUUUAAUGUCCUUGUCAUGAAGCCCAGGUUAGGACUCUGCCUACUAAAUGGAACUCUGCAGCUGCAUUGGACACUAGAAUAUAUAGGGAUUCCUUCAAAUGCUCCUGUAAUUGGAGUGUAUUCUUCAGAAGUUUAUGUCUUCUCUACCUGAGACACUCUUUUCUCUCUGGUGCAGUGGUGCAUGCUUGUAAUCCCAGCACUCAGGAGCCCUGGCUGCAUUGUGAAACCCUGCCUCCAAAUGACGAAAAAGUAUCCUUUGUCACAAAACUUCAACAACUCAGGUGUCCAGGUGCAUUGUAUACCCUCCCUUUCUGUCCAGUGUUCUCAGUAGUGCAAAAUUAUGACAUUUUGUCAUCUUUCAGAUUUUGAUGUUUUUUGUAUUUUUAUUUGUAGUUUCUUCCUGAAAUAUUACUUCCAUUUUUAUGAAGUUAGUGUAUACUAAUAACCUCAAAAUUAAAAUUGUUUUACACAGCUUAAAAUGAGAAACACACUUCUCUUUUACCAGUUUUUGGUAGGACCCUGCUCAACUUUGUAGCUCUGUUCUCAGGUUUGUUUUGUGUUUCCUCUGAUACUGGCGAUUGAACACAGGGCCUUCGCCCUGAACUACAUCCCCAGCCCUUGUCUUACUAAAUUGCUAAGUUGACCUGACUGGGCUUGAACUUGGUAUCCUUCUGCCUCAGCCUCCCAGAGUUUUGUGUUACAGAGGUGUUCAGCACCUUGAAAACAUGCUCAUGAUUCUGUUUGUUACUUUUAAAAGUUUACAAUAUUACACAUCUCUUACCAUGUAAAAUGAAGUGUUCAGGCUGUGUGCUCCCUCGGUACCCAGCCCAUGCACACACGUUCCUCCUGUGUAUGUGGUCUUCUUCUCUAACUUCUAGCACUUUUCUAGCAGUUUUUGGCUAAAUGGACAGUUAGUGUUUAUAUCAUGACAAUGUGGACUCUGCAACUCUGUGAGCUGUGUAGUUUCUGAUGCCUAUUACUCAGUCUCCGAAUUCUCUGACUAAACUGAAGGGCUUUGAACAAACUGAAUUAUGUCAGUAAUUUUAACCGCUGUGCCAUUUUCUUGGUACCAUCCCUCCUGCUUUGUAUCCCUGGGGAUCAUGCGAGCUAAGCAGCAGCUCCACCCCUGAGCAACACUUCAGCCCUCCGCCCUCCUGCACCUGGCUGGUCAGGCUGUUCUCCAGGUUAGCUGGCACAAGCUGUCAAGCUUAAUUUAUGCUUUCUCCAUGCCCAGCGGAUCCCAGGCAUCUCCCUGGCAUGUUUCCUAUUUCCUGGCCUCUAUGACUUGUCUUACACUUCUGUUUAGGUUAAGUACCUCCUCUUCCUAAACCAUCCCCAGACAGAUCCAUAGAAUGAAACAUUUUGUGUGCACUUUUGAAAAUACCUUUAUACUGUUUUCACAUGUGACUAAUGCUUUUAUUGGGUAUAGGAUUUUAGGUUAGAAAAUACUUUCUUUUUUAAUUUCAAAGGCGUUUCUCUAUUAUCCUGUAAUUUCAAAUGUUUCUUUGGUCUGAUACCAUUCUAGUUACUGAUCCUUUACAUGUGACUUUCUUUUUUCUCUGUGGAAGAGUUUAGAUGCUUCUCCAUAUCUAGUCAUCAGGAAUUUCAUGAUAUCUUAGUGUGAUUUUUUUUUUUUUUAAGAAAACUAAUUAGCCAGACACACAUUGGGCAUAGAGAACUCCCAUUAUUCAGAUUCUAGAUGUUGGGAGUGACAGCAGAUCAGGGUGUGGGAAAGCUGGCUGGGAACAUAGGUGUGACUUGUUAAUUAUAGGACCCCAGAACACCUGUAUAGAACAGUUCUCAAAGCCCUGGAUGUGGACUUCUCCAAGAACUCGAGCAGGUUUCCAGUAAUGUUAUAGAUUAAAAAUUGAUGGGCAGCUUAACACCAGCUGAUUUAAACCAGUGUAGUGCUGAGCAGAGAUGGCCUACCUGAGGAAAUCUGCCAGCAUAAAUAGAGACUUGUAGGAGAAGAGCGAGGCAUUAUGGGUUUCUCUAAGUGUUGCUGUUUUGAGCUGUUGGUUCUCCUGGAGGAGCUCAUCAUGUCUAGCUUCCCCAGUGUGAGUUUUGGGAUCUCCAUGUUGCUGAGGAUGGCUGUGGUGCUUUUCAGGCAAGCUCUGGUUCUUACUUUGAGCAUGACUUCUUGGCUCCAGCGUAGAACUCUCAACCUACCAGCACAGCUCUUUCACCCUGCUGGCAUAGACUUCCUAGUUUCCAUCACUGAUCUAUGGGCCUUCCCAGCUUAGAUCCAUAAAAGAGACCAGCGUAGGGGGCUGGGGAUUUAGCUCAGCGGCAUAAGCGCCUGUCUUGCAAGCAGGCAGUUGUGACUUUGAUCCUCGGUACCGAUAAAAAGGAAAAAGACCAAAAAAAAAAAAAAAAAAAAGACCGGCGUGAAUCCUUCUCGUGGGCUCUAAACCGCCAGUUGGAUUUGUGGGAGGCAUUGUCAUGGGCUCUAGGUCUUCAUGCAGGACAUUGCUGUGGGAUCCAGGCCCUUGGCUGAAUAUUCUGUUUUUAGUAUUAUAGACAAAUUUCCUGUACUUUCUUGUGUUAAACUUUGGGUGAUCAUUAUAAAUAAUAUAAAUUCUGUGUCCCGAUUCUAAUUGUUCUCCUCACAACCCCUGACUAACACAAAUAGGACGGCAUUCUGACCUCAGCCUGAGGUAGGGGACCUGAGUACUGCCUCUCAGGACCCGUGUGUAGAUGUUCUCAUGGUUUUCCCCGAGACUUGGACAGUACAAAGGGAAACACACCAAGAACCUGCUGUCAUGCUUUCCUCACUAAGCCUGCCCUGCUUCCUCCAGGAUAUACUUUUUAUCUUGCUUUUCCCUCCUCUACUCAGCCCAAGGUUACUCUGCAGAGCCAGUUUCUCACUCCUCACUGUUACUUUCUCAAAUAAAUGUUGCCACUGCUUUUGCUCAUUUCAUUCAAUUCUUUGUUCCAGAUGUAAAGAACCAAAAGGCGAGCAACCCAAAACCCAGUAACAUUUACUUGGCGAGCUACUUUUACAAGGAGCUACUUUGAUAACAGUGGAACUUUGCUUUUGUUUUAACAGUAGAACUUUUAAGAUAAAGCCGUUCAGUCCCCCUGUCCCUCAAAAGUCUCUACCUUGCUUUCACACUUUCUCAGUAAUGGCUGACAGAAAAUGCCAGGUUCACAUUUUACCUCAGAGCACGGAGGCUUUCAUCUACUGGCCUUCAAACACCACUCAUGGUGAUGAGAAGACUGCCGCCUUCUCCCAGGGACUCCCGCUCCUGCACUGUCAUCUGUUUUCCUCUCUCUGAAAGGUUUUAUGUCCUGUCUUUUCUUUAUCUUUGAUUUUAAAUUUCACAGAUUUAUCUCUAGGGGAGGAAAUUUUUAAAAUUCAUCUUGCUCUCUGGUGGACAUUUCUAUUCUCACUUGAAAGAAUGGCUCUCACCUCUGAUUCUGCCUUCUUCUCUCUGUUUUAUGAGAUUGAGAUGCUGUCCCUGCACCAAGAGGGCCACAUCUUUACAUGUUUGAAAGCGAAACUUCUGGCUUAUCCAUCAGUAGAAGCUCAUUUGCUUUGAAUCUUCAAAGAAUUCUUCAGAAUCACUGGGCUGUGGUACAGGUUUAAUUUCCUUGGUGAGUCCUAUGAUCUCCAGGGAAAUUUUGGAAGGACGAGUAAACGUGUAUCAGUCACUUAGACCUAGAAGUUUCACUUCUCUUCCAGUGUCUCAUCACCUGAUCUCUUCUUCCUCAGAAUGCCCAGCCCUUGCUUUCAAAAUCAGCUUGCAGAUGGGGUAGGGAUGGAAUGCUGUUUUGUUUUGUCUUGUCUGUUUUGUUUUUGAGACAGAGUCUCACUGUGUAGUCUAGGCAGUGUUGAACUCACGGUGUAGCCGAGGCUGACCUCUAGAACUCUGAGCAAUCCUGCCUCAGCUUCCCCAGUGCUGGGAUUAUAGACAUAAGCCACCACUCCCUGAAAUUUGCAAUUGUUUGUGUGAGACUUCACUAGAAUAUUCUUACAGCGCAAAAAACUAGUUUUAUUUUAUAUCACUUUUGUGCAUACUUUGUGCAAAGAUGAGUGAUUGAAUUUUUUAUUUAUUUUUGUCUUUUUUUGAGAUGGGGGUCUCGCUAUGUAGUUUAGGCUGGCCUUGAGCUCACUUUGUAGCCCAGGCUGGUCUUGAACUUAAGAUCCUCCCACCUCAGCCUCCCGAGUGCUGGGAUAACAGGCGUGAGCCACCACGCCCGACUGUGAUUAAAAUCUUUAUACCAGAAGAGACCCAAACAAUUUAAAUUAUCAUCGUUUAUGCUAAAUUAUGACAGUCUCAAAUAAAUCAACUAAAGCCAGACUGGUGCAAUUAUACUUCUUCUUGAGAUUUUGGUUUUUGGGGUUUUUUUGUCCUCUUAACUCUUUUUUCCUUUUUUUUUUUUUUUUUAACUUUUCAAAAUUAUCAUUAUCCCCAAUACCUUUCCUCUCCUUUCCUGGUGACUAUAUUUAUUUUUUAUUCAAAUUGCUUUCCAUAUGCACAUUUGAACACCAGUUUGAUAAUUGAUUCUCAAGUCCAUAAAUCAUCAUGGAGUGUCUGUAGAAAGGACCUUAACAGUAAGAUAUUCAUUAAAAAAGAAUCCCAAGAGGUCUUUAAAUUCUUUGAUCUUUAACUUUAAAAAUAAUCAACCUGAUUCUUCAUUAAUCACUUGGAUUACAUGUUUCAGUUCUGAGCUAUUUUUUAGGGCCCUUGUACAAUUAAUAACAAGCUUUUCAAAACUAUUAUUUAAUAGUCAAGUCUUCCAGCCUAUGAAAUUUUUUCAAGAGCAGAAAUAACAAACUACCACUUUAAUAUGAGAGUAAUUUGUUCUCAUGUGCUAAAAAUUAAAUGCAUAAGGAGAAAAAUGAUACAACCCUAUGUUAAAUGUUACACAUUGGAACCAUAAAUGCCAUAGCUGUACUGCUAUUAGUAGUCAUACCUAUUAAUUCUCAAGGAUUUCUUCUUGUAUUUUCAGUGAAAUUUUCUUCCUUUUUUGACCCUUCAGAAAUUUUGGGUUAUUUUCUAGUCAAACAAGUGAAGAACUUUUACACAUGUGAACAGAAAGUUUAUUUUAUAAAAAUUUUAAGUAACAUUGCAAAGUACUCAGACAUAUCUUCAAAUAUUGUACUUUAUAAAUGUUUUCAAAAGUCUUAAAAUGUUAAUACUGAACCUACAGUUGCUAGCCUUGAUGAGCUUCAGAUUUUUCAAUUUCUGAAGAACUUAAUUUUCCAUAAAAAAUAACUGACACAGUACAGUCAGAAAUAUUGCUGCUGUGACUUUUCCAUGCCCUUUAGGAUUGCUGCUGUCAUUACAUUAAUACCAAGAAAUAUGCAUUGUAGUAAACCAUUUGUUAGUGAAUAACCAUGUAAUACAAUUGAAAACAAAUUUUAUGCAGGUUAUAUCUCAAGACUCAGUUCUCCAAAGAAAUAUUCUGAAUUUAAGAUCUGUUCCUAAGCUGAAGCAGGGUUGGCUUAUACAGCUCAGACUGGCUUUUCACUGAAAGCAAGCCCUGGAUGGGAAGCCCAGGUGUGGCUCUUAACUGCAGUGUUAAGUUGUCAUCUCAGGUCCUUUCAGCAGGCCAUUUUCUCUUGUGCUCAUGAUGCUCUUUCUAAUCAUAAAAUAUGUAGAUUGUGUUUUCUCUCUUGUGUGUGUGAUCAUAGCACCCGCAGUGAAAUCCAUGGCUUCUGUCAUCUGUGCUCCUCCUGCCUUCCACCUCAAACCAACAAAUAUAUAUUGGUAAAAAAGUACUGCAGUGAGCCCCCAUCAACUAAAUUUGAAGUUGGACCCUGAAAGAUUAUUUUAUCCAGCUUCAGGUUUCAAGCCUUGGAAAUGAUUUUAGACAGGAACAGUGAUAGAAUUUUCAUAUGAAAGCAAUUAUGUUCAUUGUCACCAAAAUUUCUCUUCAUGAAAAUUACAAUAUUUAAAAGACAUCUGUUGACCUAGAAUGCAUAUUUGACUAUUCUUUUCAUUUAACUGAAAAAAAUCUCUUCUCCAAAAAAUAUUGUAGCAUAGCUAUUGAUUAAAACUCUGAUAGAAAUUUUAAACAACUUUUCCCUGUAGAAAAUUAUUUCUGAUAAUUUUACUUGAAAUUAUUUCACCAUGUAUGGAAUAACAUAAGAAAUGUGUCAGAAAUAUAUAUAUAUGUACUUUUUAAAAAUGAGAAUCUUUUAAGAGACUAUGAAAUAAGAUUUUUAAAAAAUAUCCAUUUUUUAAGUAAUCCAUUUAAGUAAAGGCUUCUCACCAAAAAGUAGACUGGACCAUGUGGUCAUAAUUCUAGUGCAGACAGACAUACGGUCUUGGAACAUACAACACAAAGGACAUAAGACCACAGGAGCUUUUCUAGUGAGUCCUCAUGUUAGUAAAGAUAAAGACACUUUUCCUUGAGAAUCAGUCCCUACGUUUCCUUUCUCAAAUUCCUCACUGCGUGGCAAUGACUUGUGUUCCAGAACCUCAGCCAAACAGUGUCUGAAGGUCUGUAAGUGUUGAACACAACAAUAUUUAGCACAUUUAUGAACACAUUUUGAAAACAUGCAAAUCUAUAUAAAAAUGAAACUGUGAACAGCUGGACAAGAACACUGGUUUACACGCCGAACUUUUUUCCAGGUCCCUUGACAUCGAGGAUUGCCAAUUGCUUGCCAGUGGAGGCUCUGAUUUCUGAAAUGAUAAUUUGGAGAUGUUACACUAAAAGCAAACCAAAGAAAAUUCUAAUUUACAAAAUUAUAGAAUGGGGUUUGGGAAUUUUUUUUAAAAAAAUACUAAUCUCAGAGUUUUGAAGUGCUUUAUAAAUUUUUUUUUAAAUUUCAGUGAUCACAAAGGUUUCUUUUCCUUAGGCUCUGUCAAAAUAAGUUACCAAUUUAUCCCUUAUUAGAGGGUACCCUUGUGUUGAGAGAGUUUCCUGGAGUUGCUUUAUUCAUUUCUUCCACUGGAUCUGAAUAAAAGUACCGCAGAAGGAAAAUGACUGUUUCACAUAUAUUUAAACUAGAAGGUCUAGCUGGGUAAGGUGGUUGUACACCCGUCUAAUCCCAGCACUCAGGAGGCUGAGGCAGGAGGAUUACUGACAGUUCAAGGUCAGCAUGGUUAUAUAGUGAGAUCAAGAUCAGCCCAGACUACGUAGUGAGACCUUAAACAAAUAAAUAGGAGAGUCUAAGCCAAAUGCACUCUUUGAUUUCUUUCCAAGUCUUUGAUUUUAUAAUAAAAAUGGGAGAAGCGGAAAGCAAGAAAGGCCAGAUUAUUAAAAUUAUUAUUUUUAAAGUUACUGCUCCCUUAGCCAGGGGUUUAAGCUUUUUCUUUAUGGGGUACAAAUUGAAUUAUAAAUUCAUUUAAAAUCAAACUGUGGAUGAGGUAUUCAGAAAGAUAUUAAGUUUCAUUUGGUAUGAAUUCCUUACCCAGUUUAUUAUUCAUACAGUAUAUUCAAUAAAGGCUUCUAGGCACAAGUGACUAAUAAAUUCAUAUCAUUAAGUAUUGAAGCAUACAAUGGAAAUAAUGAUUAAUGAGAAAGGUCGAUAUUUUACUGUUCCAUCAGGAUUUUUACCAGUUCUACCUGAAAUCCUGGAAACUAUAAUCCAUGUGUGACCUAAAUUGGUCUCUGUCCAGUAACUGUUCCAGCCUACAUUAACACUCUUAAUUACAAAGGGCAUUAUCAGAUAUAGCUGAUAAGUACAGGAUUGAGAUCCAUUUCCAGGGUGAUGAAAUGUCUUUGGAGAGAAUUCUUUCACAAAAUGUGUGGAUUUGCAUGGGAUUGUCACCUUGCAGAGCUGAGCCUACCAUUCUCAUGAUCAUGAUUUCAUGAGAAAACCCCACUGUGCGCUGGCUCAGAACAGCAUGGAUGCGAAACGCUGGGCAGAGUGAGCAAACCAUGACCUUCUCUAGCCUGCGCCUCUUUUUGUACAGACUAUGCACUAAGAAUGAUUUUACCUUUACAAGGAUUUAAAAGAAAAUGACAAAAGAAUUUCAUGAUACAUAAAAAAUUCUAUGAAAUUCAAAUCUGAGCAUCCAUAAAUAAAACGUUAGUUAAAGCCAAGGUUUACAUAGCAUCUAGUCCUGCUUCCCUGCCUCUGUAUCAGAGCUGAGCAGCUGUGACAAAGGCCAGAUGGAAUACAGAGCCAAAAAGUCUACUCUAGCAUUUAACUGGAAAAGUUUUCUGACCUCCAACCAAAGCAAGUAUUAAAAAUCUGCUCCUCUCAGAGACUGCAAUUUACCUGAUCUGAAGUGGGAUUGGGAGUCUACACAUUUCUUUCUGUAUCCCAAGUGAGUUGGAUUUAAAUGAUCUUCAGAAUAUUACUAUGAAACAAUCAGGUUUUAGUGUUCCUUUGGGUACCUGAUCUGAACCUCAGGAGCCAAGGUGACCCAUGCAACUCUGCUCAGAGAGCCUGAGCCCUGCAGUAAGAACUGAAGAUCUGGACUCAGGAACUGCUGGACAGAUGAUUUCUCCACACUGCUCAAAUCACAACAUAUGUCACAUACUGGUCAGCGGCUCAGAGUGCGGAGGGGACAGGUGCUCAGAAGACAUAAUGAUAAUUUGAGUCUUGCAAUCCAUUUCCCUCCCUUACCCAUCAGAGUCCAGACCGUCCCCGGAGCAGCGAAGGCUCUCAGCGUUCAUAGCUGGAGGCUGACAGUCCACACACACUGUGUACCCCUCGCGGAGAUACUGCAUCCACCGAGUCAGGGGCCCGUGUUCCAGAGCACAGUGAGGAGUCAAGGACUCGGUUUUGAACUCCAUACAGUAUCUAAAGCAAAACAGGGGAGGGUUCACUUGCUGUAAUUAGAGGUGGUCUAACAUCACAGGAAGUCUUAGGAAAUCUGUCCUGUCCAUGGGAACCUGGCCAGCUCGAGCAGGGAAUGAGUGCAUCUUCACAAGUUUCUCACAAGUCACACAAAGCUGACAGUUUCUCCUUUGCAGAAUGACUACUGCUACUGCUACUGCUUCUACUACACUAUGUACUGCUGAACAACAUGAGGAAACCUUUUCUCAUCUUUCUCAGUCCGUAACUGAAUUAUAUGAUCAACAUGAAUUUCACAUUUGGACAACCUGUGUCCUGCCAGUCAGACAGGUUGUAUAGAAAAGCAUAUGUUUUAGUAGAAAGACAGUCCGGGAUAAUGUUGCAGAUAUUGUAAAGAAUUACAUAAAUAGAAGGGGACCUUGCGUGAACCCAGAGUAGGCUUGUUCUUGACACCCAGGCCAGCACCCGUGCUGUUCUGCCCCCCAGAAGUUCCCAGGAGCCUUUCCUGCACUCACCACCUGGCCUGCCUGCAUCAUCUGGGCUCAUGUCAGUGAGUCUCAACUUGGAAUCAAGCACCCAAGUUCUAUCAGGCAUCACAGAUGAAAGCAGAAAUGGGAAGCUGAGCGAUGUUUUCUGUGGCAAAGCUUGGUGUCAGCAUAUCCUGGCUUGUUGGAAAUGCUGACAUCCUUGUGACUCUGAAGUUCUCAGGGAAGAGUACUGGACAUGCUGAGUUUCUGAGAGUUUGUGUAGCAUGCCUCUCCAAGUCUUCAGGGGAACAGACAACAAAAACCCCAAGUGUCACAAAAGAAAGACACUAUUUUCAGAUUAAUGGGCUGAUAUUUUUAUUCAUCAACUAAUGAGUUGUAACAGGUUAAGUGGGAACUUUGGAAAAACUGCUCCAAAGAUUUUUAACAGUGAUAGGUACUGCUUAUCUUUAGUUAUUGGGGUCAGAAAUUGUACAGUUCUGCAUCAAUCAACUUUUGAAGACCUGCCAUGCUAUUGUCUCCUUAGAUGCUCAUAUCAACCUCAAGUGGUGGGUAUUAAUACUCUCACUUCUCAAGAAAAAAAACCUGAAGUGGAACAGUUAUGGCUAGUGAGCUUGUGGCCAUCCAAUCUCUUAUCUGAUGGCAGAAGAGAGGACCUCAGGUGAGCAUAGGGGUGCCUUCCAGUCUUAUCAACAGCAAAAAUCCUCUGAACUCAAGUGUGGGUCACUUUCAAGUUCACCGAGAGAGAUGAUUUUGGAGCCCAUGGCUCCAUACAGACUCUAGGAAGAGCAUCUUUCUUGCUCUUACGAUUAUUUUUAUGUUUUAUGUACCUGUUUUUUCUUGGGGAUCAGACCUCAGAGACAGGUAAGUCUUUCCAGCCCCCACAAAAAAGAGGGAGGGGACAAGUACUUUCUUGACUCGUCAUGUUUUACUGGAAGUGGGUGAACAAGUUACAGAAAAAGCAGAGAAGGCAAAUAAGUCUUUUGGAUAAACUUGACUACGUGACUAGAAAAGAGUAAUAAUAAUAAUACCAAAUUACCCAGGUUCCUCUGGGUGCUUGGACCACUGUGGAGAUGCAGCUUGUCUCGUUCUCUCCUUGUUGAAUGCAGAGGUAGUUAUAAAGGCAGGGACUACAAAAGGGAGAAUUAUGUUAAAUUCACGCAGCCAAAGGAAUCAGAACAAAUCCUCUGUCAUGCCAUUUCUAAGCCCUUGGCGCCCCAUCAAGCAGGGAAAUGAGGCUAAGCUACAAGAUCCACAGAACCAAAUUAAAGGUUUAUGCACAUGCAGAUGACACGGGACUGCAGGCCUCAGACAAGCACAUUUGUCUGCAGUAACAAAACCAAAAGAGAAGGAGAAAAAAAUAGCCAAUGGGAAAUAAUAAAAAGAUGUAGGAAAGUGAGGGAAUAGAGAUUGUAAGAGAAGAAAAUUACAGGAAAAGUAAAAUAGAGAAAAAGAUGAAAGGGAGAAAAAACCCAGAGAAAUGAAAGGAGACAAAAUGGACAAUCAGGAGAAACGAGAAAGAAUAAAAGCAAGCAAAGGAAAGAAGUGUGGGUGCUCCCGCAGCUCCCGGAGCUGCAGCCCACACCCCCUGCUCCUGCACGGUGCUGGCCAGGACAGUGUCCCCAGGCAGCCCUGGACUCUGACAGGAUGGGUGGGGGAGAAGAGCCAAGAGUUCCUCCUGCCUCUGAUCUACUGCACUUCACUGUGUGGAAUGGAGCUGCCUGGGGGUGGAACCCAGAGCCUUCCAUGUGCUAGGCAAGCACUGCCACUGGGCUACAUUUCUUCUCUUUGUGGGAGCAGAUGGAAGAAUAUACUGGGGAUCGUACCUCAGGUCUUUGCACCAAACUACCUCACCAGCCCUCUAAAAUUUCUUUUUCUUUUCUUUUCUUUUCUUUUUUUUUAAUUCAAGGCAGGGUCUCGCUAGGUUGACCAGGCUGGCCACAGACUCCCAAGUAGUCAGUAUUACAGUUGUGCACUACACACUCAGCUCCUUUUCUAUUUCAUUUUGUGAGCCAUGUUCCCACAUUGUCACUAAAUCUACAGUUGCAUCCUUUGCUAUCUGUCGCACCUGGGGGUAACUUCUUGAUUCUACUCCAAUGUCACUUCAAAAAGACAGGGUUUUGCCUCAUUCCUCACUAUAUAUAUAUCCCUUAUACAUUGAGACACUAAAUAGCUGUGUGCAAUAAAUGGAUGAGUAAAAUUAUGAAAUCUUCACCAAAGCGCACAGUCCUGGUUCCUUAUGGUCUUCUCUUCCUAAAGUCAUUCAUCCCAGGAACCCCAGAGAAUGCCAAAAUCCUCAGGUGCUCAAGUCCCUUAAAUAAAAUGUCACAGUAUUCACAAAUAGCCUACAGACAGCCUACCAUAUGCUUUAAGUCAAUUCUGGAUCUUACUUGUAAUACUACCGUAUAAACACUAAUAAAUAGUUGUGAUACUGUGUCACUCCAGGAAUAGCAUAGAAAAAGUCUGCUUGUUCAAUACACAGGCACUUUUCCCCUCCAAUACUUUCGCCUCUUGGUUGGCUGAUUUGCAGGUGUACACUUCGGAUAUGGAGGGCUCUGUCAGCCCUGCAAGGGAGACAGCUCAACAAACCUUCCUCCCUUUCACUUCAGGAACUGGACAACCCUGUGAAAGGCAGACAGAAGCUGAUGAGGGCUCCUGAGAUACUAAGGUCAUCAUCAACAGGGGCAGUGGCAGGAGGGCCCUGACUGGGAAAAGGAUGCGGAGAGCUUGCAGGCUGGUUUAUGUGGCUCCUUCCUGCCACUAGAGGGCAGGUCUCAUUUCUUAUUUAGGUUUUCUUGAGGUGGAGUCAUUUUUAUUGCACUAGAGAAUGUAAGACAAGAGCAGCCUAAUAAUGCCAAGUAGUCACUUGUUUCUAAGACUUGCAGGCAUGGUUCCCACUUCAUGUGGUUUGGUGCCCAAUCUCCCCAGUGUGGAAACAUCCAUCCGUACAGCAAACCCAGAGCCCCAGCUGGUAGGGUUCUUUCUUGCUGCAGUGACUUGUUCAACUGAUUUCCAGAAAAACCAUGUCAUGCUUUUUAAAUGUGACUAUAGUUUUUGCAUUUUAAAAAUUCAGAGGUGAGGACAUGUAGCAGGAGUCUUCUCUCUCAGACUUAAUGAUCAGCAACAGAAACAUCUAAAGGACGGUAAUUUUCCCAUGUGUUUUCAAUUCUGUUCUUUUGACACAUUUAUGUGUUUAGUCACGAAGUGAAGAAUAAAUUUACUGCUAAAUGCUUGCACAUUUAGUAGUAAAUCAUACACAUCAGACUAAAAUAUCCUCAGGAUAUGUUUCUUUUGUUCAAAUCAUUUAUAUGCUCUCCUAAUUUGUACUGCAUGUAUCAGUACAAAAGUUCAAAGCUACCAAACUUCAUGGAUACUGCAGAAAAAGUGAGACAAGGGAUGGAGAUGCAGCUCAGUGUGAAGCCCUGGGUCCAGUCGCCACUGCAGAAGGAAAAACUUCAAGGUUCAAAUGUAAAUAGGGCAGAGACAGGCAGUCCUGUGCCUCAGGGUCACCUAUGAUUGCAGAGUUCCGCCAUUCUGGGCAGCCUAGUUCUCAUGAAGUACUCACAUUCUGAGCUAUUUUCCCUUUCUGUCCCAAAUCACCACCCUCCACAUGAAGUCAGAUUUAAGAAAGGAAAUGGGCGAAUUUGAACAUUACACUCCAAAGUCCCAUGAGGCCGAGAAGGCGGACCAACAUGCAACCAUAGUGGCCCCUUGCAUUUACAGGCUGCGGGCUCACAGAGUGAUUUCAUGCAUGCUUCUUUGCAGAAACUUUGUAAACUGUGAAUGUCAGUUUUACUCCUCAGACUCAGAGAGGUGCCAUGUGGAGAAAAGGGCCAGCACAAAAGAUGUCUUCUGUCCUCAGACUCAGGAUCUGUGCUUCAAGGCCUGUGAUGGCGCAUUGCGUAAGUGAGCCAGUCACCCUGCCUGCUCUCUGUCCCCGCCCCUGCACCCCAGGGCUCAAUGGGGGCACAUUCUACUGCAAGAGUAUCGUCCCCCUACAUGGAAUCUCUAGCAAGCAGACCAGGAGCCAGAUCACCCCAAGCUCUCCAAACCAGCGCCUCUUUUUAAUAUGCCCCACACAUUUAACUUUCAUUACUUAACAGUGGUGAAUGAUUUAGAAAUUAGUUAUGCCUGCAGUCCCACUUCUGCUUAUGUGCAGAAACACGUAGCUCAGUGCCCUGGGACAAACUGUCCAUAAAUGUUAGCUCCCCUUCCGUUCCCCUUCCUGACAACAAUAUUCUAAUGUAAUACAUUCUCUGUUCACAGGCCAUUUGCCAACUUUGCUGGCAAUCUGUGAGCCUGACAUUGUUCAGUUUUACAACAACUUCCACUUCUAAAGGCAUGGCACCGCACGUAUUCCUUUGAACAUGAAAGUAAAUUAAAUUUGCCUUAGGAAUUUUGUAAGCCCUUGGACACAAUAGAGUACUACAAAAGCGCUGCUCUGUAGAUACAGUACCAAAGAGAAUUAAAGGGAAAUCUGACAAACAGCUACCUGGAAACACACUGAUCUCUAUGUAGGAGAAAAAUUCAUAUGAACAUCAGUAAUGUGCAACAAAUUCAGUAAUUCAGUUAUUUACGUCUGUUUUUGUGAAAAAUGCAGUCACAAGGAUUAGAUGAAAUGGGAAAAAAUCCACAGCUAUUAUUUGCUCAGUAACAAGACAGUUUCACUGAUUGUGUUUCAUUCUUUGGCUUUAUGGAGCCUUUAUUUUUCUACUUAGUUAUCAGAAUCUCUAAUCCCAGUUUUCAUGCUAGUGAUAAUGGUUAACAGAAAAACAACAUGAAAAGAGGAAAACUCAUGGGUUUAGGGCCACGAGGGCCAGGUUUAAAUUCUGAUAGACUUGACAAGUGCUGCCACUUCCCAGAACUCCAGUGCCCGCAUAUGUUAAUAAAGGAGGAUCAUCUUGUCCACCUCCCUCCAAUAAUCAUGGCCCCCAAAGAGGUCCAGAGCCUAUGGAUAUGUUGUUUUAUAUGGCAAAGAGGAAUUAAAGUUACAAAUAAAAUUAAAAUGUUUAAAAUAGGAAAAGUCUCCCAGAUUAUCUAGGUAAGCCCCACAAAAUCCAAGGGACUUAAACAAAAUCUAGUCAUAGGGAGAUGUGGCUGCCGAUGAAAGGCACAGAGAGAGCCAGGGUUGCCGCCUGUGAAGACAGGAGAAACAGCCAGGAGGAAGGGACAGAGAUACGAGAAGGCUGUCCAGUUACACACUCUAGCACCUGCUUAAAUUUUAACAUCCUUUGCCUUUUGAUAGGCUAAGAAUUUCACAGUUAAAGCCUGAUUGUAUUAGUCCUAGACAUCUUUCUCUUCUCUUUGCUCUCGUGUUUUACUAUAUGCAACAAACAGAAGCCAACACUUCAACACUUUGCUUGCAACUCUCCUUAGGUGAAUAUCCAAGUUUCAACUCGAAGGGUCAUCACCUUCAAGUUCUACUUUUCACAUACCUGCAGGAUACAAUCUGCUCUGCUUUCCUUACAUUAAGGAUCACCCUUCAUCCAUGAAAAAGUAAGGACACAGAUACCCCCUUGAGCCUUCAUUUCUGCCUGCUGACACCUUGGCUUAGGUCCAGGUAGACCUGUGUUGGAAUUCUGUCACACAAAGACUGAUGUGUGCUGUAUUAAGUCACUAAAUUUCCAAUGUUACUAUUGUAGCCAUAGAAAACUAAUGCACUCUGUGGUAGGACUGCUAUGAAAAUGUGAAUCAGUAAUGUCUAUAAAAGCUCGCUGCCCUGCAGAUGUUCGCGUGUCAUGCAGCAAAGCCCCCUGCUCUGUGAACAGUGUACAGGAGACCAAGCAGCAGGCCUGAGAGCACCUGGGCUUACGCACACUCUCCUCCUCUGGGUUCCCACACCAACCUAAGCUGCAUCUCUCUGCCACAAUGCUCGACACCAGGUCAUUAUGAAGGACGGUGCAUUUUUUUUUGAAGUCUGGAGUCCCAAAACAUACCACAGCACUGGCAUGUGGUAGUUGCUUCAUGUUAAGUCAGCGAAAGAAAAAUGAAUGCACAGAGCUAGGAGUUGUAGCACAUGUCUACAAUCCCAGAACUCCGGGAGGUUGAGGCAGGAGGCUCACAAGUUCAAGCCCAGGCUGAGCAACUUAGAUUUGUUUAUCUGAUUAUUUAUCUAAUAAGUAGAUAAACAAAUAGACUAGGAGUGUAACUCAGUACAAAAUCAGCACCUUGUGCCAUCAGAAAAAGAAAAAGCAACACAGGAGCUGGAAUGGAACAAGACCCAAGCAUCCUUGAGGAACUCCUGAGAUCAGAUGUGUGUGUUAUUGUCUCUUCUUUUCUCCUAAAUGUCCGUCAUUUUCUGAAGUGUAUUCCAUGAACACUAGUAAUUUUAGUGAAAUGCCUCUAAGAAAAAAGUUAUCUAAUCAAAUAAAGUGGGAACACAUUGCC